UUUUCAGUGACGCUGAGUAUAUUUGACAAAAAUGAAGCUGAAAUUGUACAAACUUUGGCUCAUUCUGCAUCCAGUGUUGAAAUCAGCAUCGUGCUGUGACAUAAAAUACAGGUUCCAUGGGGCCUCAGAUGGGGUACCCAAAAAGAAGUUAUUUUCCCUAAGAGAUCAUGCUGCAGUGAGAAAUCAAGAAAUUCCUAUUGUUGUGUGCAUACUUAAGUUUCAUGGAGUGUCAUGGGAAAAGGAUAUGGAAAAUACAGGGAUGAAGAUGUGUGAAGCUGCAGAAAAGCAAGCUGGAAGCUAUAUACCCAGAAUUCCAGGAGAAAAGGGGCUGUAGGUUUGUGAAGGGUAUUGAGCUGCUGAACAGAUUGAAUUGUUAAUAAAGUUGCCUUUAAACAUUUCCCAGACUUAUAUCAGUUUGCUAUAGCCAAUGUGGCGGGUGUAGACAGAAGGAAGUCCUUGUUGAAGUAUUUUAAUCCUCUCAGUACAAGUGACAUACACAGGAUAUUGGGUCAUCUCAACAUGUUGCCUAUGUUAGAGGAAGGUCAGGAUUCAACACAAGACAGAGAGUUC
rnacentral:misc_RNA from 1 species